AUGCUGGCUUCGGCAGCACAUAUACUAAAAUUGGAACGAUACAGAGAUUAGCAUGGCCACUGUGCAAGGAUGACACACAAAUCUGUGAAGCAUUCCAUAUUAGA